rnacentral:ncRNA from 1 species
UAACUCAAGAGUUUGAUCCUGGCUCAGGACGAACGCUGGCGGCGUGCUUAAUACAUGCAAGUCGAACGGAGUUAAGGGUUUCGGCCUUUAACUUAGUGGCGAACGGGUGAGUAACGCGUGAAUAACCUGACUCAAAGAGGGGGAUAACAACGGGAAACUGUUGCUAAUACCGCAUGAGACCACAACACCGCAUGAUGAAGGGGUCAAAGAUUUAUCGCUUUGAGAGGGGUUCGCGUCCCAUUAGGUAGUUGGAGGGGUAACGGCCCACCAAGCCAACGAUGGGUAGCCGAGCUGAGAGGCUGAUCGGCCACACUGGAACUGAGACACGGUCCAGACUCCUACGGGAGGCAGCAGUAGGGAAUAUUGGGCAAUGGGCGCAAGCCUGACCCAGCAACGCCGCGUGAGGGAAGAAGGUUUUCGGAUUGUAAACCUCUGUCCUAUGUGACGAAGGAAGUGACGGUAGCAUAGGAGGAAGCCCCGGCUAACUACGUGCCAGCAGCCGCGGUAAUACGUAGGUGGGCGAGCGUUGUCCGGAAUUACUGGGCGUAAAGGGUGCGUAGGCGGUUUGGUAAGUUGGAUGUGAAAUACCCGGGCUUAACUUGGGGGCUGCAUCCAAUACUGUCGGACUUGAGUGCAGGAGAGGAAAGCGGAAUUCCUAGUGUAGCGGUGAAAUGCGUAGAUAUUAGGAGGAACACCGGUGGCGAAGGCGGCUUUCUGGACU